rnacentral:lncRNA from 1 species
CAAUUGUAUGAAUUCAUGUAAAUAUUUUUUUUUAUCUAAACAGAUUUUAAAUAAUUGGUCUGUAGUAAAUUAUUUAUAAUCAUGAACAAGAGAAGACGGAGUUUGUCUUUUCUAUGAGUGAUAUAAUUCUGCUGGAAGGAAUACAGUUGUGCAGAAUUUAAAUCUCAUGAUUAAUUUUAUUUUGACAUAAAUGAAAUAUGGGGGAAUGUACAAUAUUGUACUCUUUUAUAUUCCACCACCCUUUAAUUUUUUGUUUAAAACAGCACUGUUUUUGGCUUCUUACUGUUAAUACACACAGAAGAAAAGAACAGGUGGUUUCUAGUUCUACCAUCCAUUUUUUACUGGAAUAUCUGUAGAAAAUUUACCAUUUUAGAAUCUAAUGCAUUGUAGCUGAAAUGUACACCGAAAUAUUUUGAUUGGUCUAGGAACAAUGUAACGUAAUGUCUUUGGCCAAAAAAAACUAUUGUUUGUGCACCAAAAUUUCAAGAAUAAUCAUUUUACCCAUAUGCCUUUAGUUUCUGAAAUGGAGGAUUAACUUGUUUCAUUAGCAUAUUUCAAUGUUUUCAAUGAUAAUUUUUUUCAUAAAUUUGAUACAAACAAAC